GCUUAGAAGACUCCCUGAAAUAAAGGUGAGAAGUUCUUUGUUUGAAACAUUAACAGCAGCCACCACCCUUAACAAGCAAAUGAAGCAUAGUUAUUUUUUAAAGAACACAAAUUAAAUGUUUAAACUGCACUUUCCCUUUGAAUUACAUGGCUCCCAAAGGGAAAAAAAAAAAAGUUUGAAAGGAUUGAGAAAACAACUUCAAAACAAAAUUGAG
rfam:Mustela putorius furo unplaced genomic scaffold scaffold00041, whole genome shotgun sequence.